rnacentral:rRNA from 1 species
UACAGAGGUCUCAAGCGUUGUUCGGAUUCAUUGGGCGUAAAGGGUGCGUAGGCGGCGCGGUAAGUCGGGUGUGAAAUCUCGGAGCUUAACUCCGAAACUGCAUCCGAUACUACCGUGCUUGAGGACUGGAGAGGAGACUGGAAUUUACGGUGUAGCGGUGAAAUGCGUAGAUAUCGUAAGGAAGACCAGUGGCGAAGGCGGGUCUCUGGACAGUUCCUGACGCUGAGGCACGAAGGUCAGGGGAGCAAACGGG